rnacentral:misc_RNA from 1 species
AAGCUGUGAUACGUGAUGCGAAUUGCAGACACAUUGAGUAUUAAUCUUUCGAACGCACAUUGCGGCGUCAGGCUAUUGUCUGUCGCCACGUCUGUCUGGGGGUCUUUUUAUACUUAUGCACAGGCACUAGUGUCUGCGCGCAGUGCUGUUUGAGGAAUUAGCCUUCUACUAACUGCCAAAUUGAAACGUGUAAAGGGAUUAAGCGCUUUGCGAGUAGAGAGGUGAAAUGCUUCAAAUUUGAUUUCGACCUUAGAUUAGGCGUGAUCACCCGCUGAACUUAA